rnacentral:rRNA from 1 species
AUUGAACGCUGGCGGCAUGCCUUACACAUGCAAGUCGAACGGUAGAGGGGGCAACCCCUCGAGAGUGGCGAACGGGUGAGUAAAGCAUCGGAACGUGCCCAGUAGUGGGGGAUAGCCCGGCGAAAGCCGGAUUAAUACCGCAUGAGACCUACGGGUGAAAGGGGGGGAUCGCAAGACCUCUCGCUAUUGGAGCGGCCGAUGUCAGAUUAGGUAGUUGGUGGGGUAAAGGCCUACCAAGCCGACGAUCUGUAGCUGGUCUGAGAGGACGACCAGCCACACUGGGACUGAGACACGGCCCAGACUCCUACGGGAGGCAGCAGUGGGGAAUUUUGGACAAUGGGCGAAAGCCUGAUCCAGCCAUGCCGCGUGCGGGAAGAAGGCCUUCGGGUUGUAAACCGCUUUUGUCAGGGAAGAAAUCCUUUGAGUUAAUACCUCGGGGGGAUGACGGUACCUGAAGAAUAAGCACCGGCUAACUACGUGCCAGCAGCCGCUGUAACAC